rnacentral:lncRNA from 1 species
AUUUACUGGUGAAAAUGUUUGGCUUAUAGCGCUUGGCUUGGAAGAGAUGCGACUACUAUUACAUUGGCAGUCGGAGAAGAUGAAGUUAGAUUCUCGAUUCCUUGAAACUUAUAGGUGCAAGUUUCCUGUGGGUUUAUCAAAUGCUUUAGUUUUGGAGCAAUGGUUCAUUAGAACAUAACCAAUUGAAUUUGGCCAUUUUGUGUUACUUAUGAUGUAUAUGCAUAUAACAUGCAUCCAAUAGCAAGGCAAUUUUCCAUGUCAAAUGGCCAUAUCAGUUAAUAUAUGGGUAUAGUAGACAGCAUGUAUCCAGAUACAUAAUUCAGCAAUAUAUACAACAAUAUUUCUAUAUGUUUCACAUGAUCUGUAAAUGUGACCUCAAUUAGUUAAUAUUGACUGCAAGAAUAUUUUGUGUUUGGUCUGUCAAGGAUCAUAAACUUCUGAGAAACAUUACCCAAAUUAGAUGACUCGCUUUACUAUUGAAGAACCAUACUGGAUUCAAUUUCUGAGUCAAGGAUCUAAGUGCCUGUGGAUUGGGUCAUUCCAGGCAGUGAUUGGCACGCACUUGCCAUGCUGAAUUGUGGUGUGCUAUGCUGAUACACCCGUGACCUACCUACACUGUCUCGGUGCCAAGCAGUACUGACCUCAUGCCCCAUGCUGCUACUGGCUCGGCGUGGAUUGGCACAUGAAACCCUGUUCUAGAUG